GCCUGGGUGGCUCAGUAGGUUGAGCGGCUGACUUCGGCUCAGGUCAUGAUCUCGAGGUCCGUGAGUUCGAGCCCCGCGUCGGGCU
rnacentral:tRNA from 1 species